rnacentral:rRNA from 1 species
AUGUACCUACACCCAACAACCGGGUGGCUGCUCGACUCCUUCCACCCGCCGAUCGAAGAGAUGAGAAGGAUAGGGCAUGUGGCGGCUAUCGCGCUGCCCCUGCCGGAGAAAUUGCCGGUGUUCUGCCUGAACGCGGGUAACAUAUGCCCGUGGUGCUGGUCCUCCGAGGGUCGGGCUGGUGGAAUGGUGGAAUUGCUUUUCCAAGCUGAUGCUAAGGAUAUGAGAGAGAAGAAACAUGAUGGUGUGCAUUAUGCAUCGCUACAGGACUUUGCUGCGAAGCCUGCUUCUUUCAGCUUCUACGGGCCCUCCAGUAGCACCAUCUGUAAGUGCCAUAUCUAUCUAUCUCAAGCUGUUUUUGUUAAAGAUCUUGAUAUGUAA